rnacentral:misc_RNA from 1 species
AGGAAGUACACUUGCACUAUUACAAGAUCAUAAUUUAGAGUACAAUGCCAUAAGUUGAGUCUGGAGAGGGCAGGAUGCAAACUAAUAUUAUCCUACAAAAGUAGAGAGGUUAGGUUUCUGAUAGCCCUAGGGUACAACCACAGAACCCGAAAAAAGCCAAAUACUGAAAUCAAUUGACAGCCAGAGAACUAUAAGUCACAAUGCCAAUUCUGGGCUCUUUGUGACACCCUGCUAAAAUUGAUGAAGCCAACAUACGCAAUGACUAUGACAUUGUGAGUGUGUGUGUGGAUGGGGAUUUUCAGUCACCUCCCAACAUAACGGACUAUUCAGAUUGAAAACGAACUUUCUACAUCCAACAAGAAACGAAAUAAUCGACGAAACAAAAUCUGACACUAGGACGGCAUCUAUUAUUUGUCAACAAAUGAAGACUCAGCAAGAUCAAUGGCACGGACAAGAGCUGCAGCUUUAUUUUCGCAUUCAUUUUGCUCAUCAGCUGGGUCACUAUCAGCCACUAUACCUGCUCCAGCUUGGAGAUAAGCAAUCCAAUCUCGUCGCUUGUCGACAUCCUUGUACGAGUACAUAGUGUCGUAACGCGUUCCAGUUGGAAAUACUAUGGUUCUCAAAGCUAAGGCAAUGUCCAUUUCUCCGGUAAAGGAAAUUCCUCCAAAUCCACCGCUGUAUGGUCCACGCCUUGUGACUUCCAGUUGAUCAAUUAGCUCCAUGGCUUUUACCUUAGGCGCUCCACUAACGGUUCCAACAGGCAGGGCUGCACGCAGAGCAUCCCAGCUACUCAAAUGGUCAAGUAGCUCUCCAGUAACCGUAGAGCUGAUGUGCAUGACAUGGGAAUACCGUUCAAUGUUCAUUAGUUUCUCAACUUUCACCGAACCAGGCUUAGAGACCUUUCCAACAUCAUUUCUUCCCAAGUCAACCAGCAUUAUAUGCUCUGCACACUGUUUCUCGUCGUGCAAAAGUUGAUUUUCCAGCAUAUAAUCUUCCUCAAGUGUCUUACCUCUUCUAAUAGUCCCUGCUAGGGGCCGAUUGGUAACUGUUUUCUUCUUCACUCGAGUAAGAAUUUCAGGACUAGAAGCAACAAGUAUACACCCCCGAGCCUGUAGAUAAGUCAUAUAAGGACUUGGAUUUACGAUUCUUAGUGCUCUGUAUACUUCAAAUGGAUCUGCAAAGGUUCGUCUUUCAAAACGUUGACUAAGAACAAUUUGGAAAAUGUCCCCAGCAAGGAUAUGUUCCUUGGCCUUUAAAACAGCCUUCUGGUAGUCUUCGCUUGUCAUGGUUGAAUUUUUCAAUGAAGUACCAAAUAGACUAGUAUGAAGUUUUAUCGACCCUGAAGCCAGUGUAGGAGGUACAAUAUCAUGUACUCUAGACAACAAAGCUUCUAAUCUGGUUGUACCAUCAUUGUAGGCCUCCUCUACUGAAGCAAAGCGAUCUAACCGCACCCAAUGUAUGACAAAUGCUUUCUUUUCCACAUGAUCAAACACAAUUACAUCAUCAUAAAGUCCUAGAUGAAGAUCAGGAAGGUUCCUAUCAUCCAUUGGAGCAUUUGAGAAAGGUAGCUUCUUUUUCUCUACGUAACGCACAGUAUCAUAUGAGAAGAAACCAACCCAACCUCCACAAAAUGCUUCAGGAAGCUCAUUUAUGCAUUGAGGUUUCCAUUUUUCCAUAAUCCUACGAGGAAUGCUCAUUGGAUCUUCCUCAAAUUCCUCUGUUCUGCUUCCUUCAAGGUGAUCCAUAAUUGUCACCAUGUUCUCUUUUGCAACAAUUUCCAUUGUUGGCUGGGCCCCAAUCACACUGUAUCGACCAACAUUAGAAGCUUUCAAACCAGGCUCUACAGACUCGAACAAGAAGCUCGGAGCUUCCCUAUCAUCUUCCUUCACUAGACAGCGGUAAGCAAGGACCGGAGUUAAGUGAUCGGAGAAUAUAGACCUGUAGAGGGGGAUCAAAUUCCCAUGCUUGGCAGCCUCCUUGAACUUCACUGAGUCGUCCACUAAUGAAGGAGGAGAAAUAGCAGCGGAGCAUUUGAGAAUCCGAAGUCGAGCAGCCGAUACAGGGGACCUAGAGAAAGAGAGCGAAGUAGCCCUGUGACCGGAGAAAAUGGAGGAGCGGUGACCGGUGCCG